rnacentral:rRNA from 1 species
GUGAGGAUCUGCCUUCAGGAGGGGGAUAACGACUGGAAACGGUCGCUAAUACCGCAUAUGCCUACGGGUGAAAGAUUUAUCGCCUGGAGAUGAACUCGCGUCAGAUUAGCUAGUUGGUGGGGUAAGAGCCUACCAAGGCGACGAUCUGUAGCUGGUCUGAGAGGAUGAUCAGCCACACUGGGACUGAGACACGGCCCAGACUCCUACGGGAGGCAGCAGUGGGGAAUUUUCCGCAAUGGGCGCAAGCCUGACGGAGCAAGACCGCGUGCGGGAUGACGGCCUAAUGGUUGUAAACCGCUUUUCUCUGGGAAGAUGAUGACGGUACCAGAGGAAUCAGCCUCGGCUAACUCCGUGCCAGCAGCCGCGGUAAUACGGAGGAGGCAAGCGUUAUCCGGAAUUAUUGGGCGUAAAGCGUCCGUAGGUGGUUAUUCAAGUCUGCUGUCAAAGCGUGGGGCUUAACUCCAUAGAGGCAGUGGAAACUGGAUGACUUGAGUGCGGUAGGGGUCGAGGGAAUUCCCAGUGUAGCGGUGAAAUGCGUAGAUAUUGGGAAGAACACCAGUGGCGAAAGCGCUCGACUGGGCCUGCACUGACACUGAGGGACGAAAGCUAGGGGAGCGAAAGGGAUUAGAUACCCCUGUAGUCCUAGCCGUAAUCGAUGGAUAUCUAGGUGUUGCUUGUCAUUGACUCGAGCAGUGCCGUAGCCAACGCGUUAAGUAUCCCGCCUGGGGAGUACGCUUGCAAGAGUGAUAUUCAAAGGAAUUGACGGGGGCCUGCUCUAGCGGUGGAGUAUGUGGUUUAAUUUGAUGCAAUGUGAAGAACCUUACCAGGGCUUGGCAUGUCAGGAACCUUGCCGAAAGGUGAGGGUGCCUACGGGAACCGGAGCACAGGUGGUGCAUGGCUGUCGUCAGCUUGUGUCUUGAGAUGUUGGGUUAAGUCCCGCAACGAGCGCAAUCCCACGUUCUUAGUUGCCAGCAUUCAGUUGGGCACUCUAGGGAGACUGCCGGUGACAAACCGGAGGAAGGUGUGGAUGACGUCAAGUCAGCAUGCCCCUUACGUCCUGGGCUACACACGUAUUACAAUGCUGUGGACAAAGGGCAGCCAGCCGGCGACGGUGAGCUAAUCCCAU